rnacentral:rRNA from 1 species
AACGAACGCUGGCGGCAGGCUUAACACAUGCAAGUCGGACGAGAUCUUCGGAUCUAGUGGCAGACGGGUGAGGAACACGUGGGAACAUCCCUUUCAGUUCGGAAUAACGUUGGGAAACUAACGCUAAUACCGGAUACGUCCUUCGGGAGAAAGAUUUAUCGAUGAAAGAUUGGGCCGCGUCUGAUUAGCUAGUUGGUGAGGUAACGGCUCACCAAGGCUACGAUAAGUAGCUGAUCUGAUAGGAUGAUCAGCCACAUUGGGACUGAGACACGGCCGAACAUACGACGCGAGGCAGCAGUGGGUACUAUUGGACAUUGGGCGCGAGCCUGUUCCAGCCAUGCCGCGUGAGUGAUGACCGCCAUCGGGUUGUAAAGCUCUGUCUUCAGGGACGAUAAUAACGGUACCUUAGGAGGAAGCCACGGCUAACUACGUGCCAGCAGCCGCAGUAA